UACGUAGGGGGCAAGCGUUGUCCGGAUUUACUGGGCGUAAAGAGCGUGUAGGCGGCCAAGCAGGUCCGUUGUGAAAACUGGAGGCUUAACCUCCAGACGUCGACGGAAACCGCGCGGCUGGAGUCCGGAAGAGGAGAGUGGAAUUCCUGGUGUAGCGGUGAAAUGCGCAGAUAUCAGGAAGAACACCAAUGGCGAAGGCAGCUCUCUGGGACGGUACUGACGCUGAGACGCGAAAGCGUGGGGAGCGAACAGG
rnacentral:rRNA from 1 species